CGCGAGCUCGGAGAGGACCCCGAGCGCUCGCGGCGAUCGGCCGGGCGGGGAGACUCACCGUGCAGCAGGAGGGCCGGGAACAGGUGCUGCGGGGCUGGACUCCUUGAGUGCGGAACGUGAGCUCAUUACAAAGCCUGUGAGCGGCUAGGGCGCCUCCGGCAGGAGCAGGGACUGUGGCUGGCUCCUGUUUGUGAAGGGCAUGUUUACCAGGCUCCUGAGAUGACCAUCUGGUCACCUCCUCCUAGCACACAAGAUAAAAGAGCGGACAUGAGACCGGAUGGAGGGGAGAACAUUUCUUGACUCAACUCCGCUGGAACUGAACUGAGAAGAGCACGGCUAAGGAAGUGAAAGGGAAGUCGUUGAAUCCAGAUCCGGACCUCUGGGACAAGCCCACGGAAUCUCCAGACCAGUGAACGAGAGCAGGCAGGCCAGGUCCUGGCAGUGAUAGGAGAGGCCCUAACAUGGGCAGUAGCGUCACAUCAGCAAGUGUGCUGGAAUAUUCCAAACACCUCACCGGCUACUUUGGUGUAUUGAUGGAGAAUUUGGCACACCAAGAAAGGACCUACAUGACCACACAUUUGGUGAAUGGCGGUGCGCACUCUGAACUCCCAGGGCUUGUGCAGUGGCCAGCACAUUCAUCAAGCAGUCCCUUCCCACUGACACUCAUCUGCUGGGAACCCUAAGCAGCUAGUGCCCUAGGCUGGGCAGUACAGGCCACGGCACCCCCCGGAGCAGCUUGGCUUGAGGUCCACAGGAAGCGUCAUAAGUCUUAGGGAUCCGUGAAGUGGUAGAAAGCCCAGUUUCAAGGGCACAAGGACUGAAACCCACUGCAGUCUGUACUAUCACUUGGCUUUCUACUAGAAUCCGCAUAAAAACUGAACCAAUGCAGAGUUACCGUGUGAGCCACUGGGAAUUUCAGGAAUUGGGGGCUUCUCUGGUCUUGAAGAAAAUGAUACAUUUAAAGAAGGGCUGGCACCAAUUGCCCUCUAAAUACUUAUGUUGAGACUCAUAUAUUAAAGCUGCUCUCACUUUUGGUUAGAGAGGAUUCUCUUUUCAGAUGGUAGUGACCACUGAGGAGAUUCAAAACUCAUCCCUCUGCCGGGAAGAAGUGACAGUGAGUGUUCAGCAUUAAACGACAUCUCUAUUCCACCCUCCAAGGCUUAGGGACUAUAGUAGAAGAGGUGACUGAAGGAAAGUGCCAAAGGAUGGGUAGGAGUGCUUUGGAACACUGUCUUCCAAAUACAAAGGGCUGUGGCAUUCAGGACCUCACAAUAGCUGUCAUUACCUGUUUAAGACCUGCAUAAUAUUGGGCUCAUUAACAUGUUAUGGGUGAUGGAGGGUGGGGGGGCAUCAAAAUAGAAGAAGAAGGGGCUUAAGAGAUGGCUCAGCAGUGAGAGGUGCUUGCUUAUAAAGUCUGACAGAUUCCCCAGUACCCACAUAAAGCCAGAUGCACAAGGUGGUGCAUACACCUGGAGUUUGUUUGCAAUGGCAGAAGUCCCUGGUGCACCUAUAUAGUCUUAUUCUCUCUUCUGCUCCCUAAUUCUCUCUGUCUCUCUCAAAUAUAUAUAUAUAGGUUUUUUGAGGUAGUCUCACUCUAGCUCAGGCUGACCUGGAACUCACUA